UACAGUCUUCGGGACAAGGUGUAAUUCCUGACCGGCAGUAUAGUCUGCGAGCAAAAGCUGAUAUGGUGCAAUUCCAUAACCGACGGUAAAGUCCGGAUGAGAGAAGAUAUGA
rfam:Clostridiales bacterium 41_12_two_minus Ley3_66761_scaffold_7108, whole genome shotgun sequence.